rnacentral:rRNA from 1 species
CUGGUCUUGACAUCCCUGUGGCGUAUGGGCAAUGCCAUAUUCCCUUCGGGGCACAGGAGACAGGUGGUGCAUGGUUGUCGUCAGCUCGUGUCGUGAGAUGUUGGGUUAAGUCCCGCAACGAGCGCAACCCUUAUCUUUAGUAGCCAGCAGGUAAAGCUGGGCACUCUAGAGAGACUGCCCGAGAUAACCGGGAGGAAGGUGGGGAUGACGUCAAAUCAUCAUGCCCCUUAUGACCAGGGCUACACACGUGCUACAAUGGCGUAAACAAAGGGAAGCGAGACCGCGAGGUGGAGCGAAUCCCAAAAAUAACGUCUCAGUUCGGAUUGUAGUCUGCAACUCGACUACAUGAAGCUGGAAUCGCUAGUAAUCGCGAAUCAGCAUGUCGCGGUGAAUACGUUCCC